AGUGAACGCUGGCGGUAGGCCUAACACAUGCAAGUCGAACGGCAGCACAGUAAGAGCUUGCUCUUACGGGUGGCGAGUGGCGGACGGGUGAGGAAUACAUCGGAAUCUACUUUUUCGUGGGGGAUAACGUAGGGAAACUUACGCUAAUACCGCAUACGACCUACGGGUGAAAGCAGGGGAUCUUCGGACCUUGCGCGAUUGAAUGAGCCGAUGUCGGAUUAGCUAGUUGGCGGGGUAAAGGCCCACCAAGGCGACGAUCCGUAGCUGGUCUGAGAGGAUGAUCAGCCACACUGGAACUGAGACACGGUCCAGACUCCUGCGGGAGGCAGCAGUGGGGAAUAUUGGACAAUGGGCGCAAGCCUGAUCCAGCCAUACCGCGUGGGUGAAGAGGGCCUUCGGGUUGUAAAGCCCUUUUGUUGGGAAAGAAAAGCAGCAGGUUAAUACCCCGCUGUUCUGACGGUACCCAAAGAAUAAGCACCGGCUAACUUCGUG
rnacentral:rRNA from 1 species